UCAUCUGUCUAUGGGAUUCUCCAGGCAUGAAUACUGGAGUGGGUUGCCAUUUCAUUCUCCAGGGGAUUUUCCUGACCCAGGGAUCAAACCCACAUCUCUUAUGUCUCUGCAUUGGCAGGCAAGGUCUUUCCCACUAGCACCAACUGGGAAGCCCAG